rnacentral:sRNA from 1 species
AGUAAGCUUGCGUUAGCGAUUGAAACGGCAUCCUUUUUUGAGGAACGAAAAAAAGAUAUAGUGUAAAGCGCGACCCUUG